rnacentral:rRNA from 1 species
AUGGCAGUAGUUCUUCGAUUUGCAAACAUAGAAGGGGUGAUAAGAGAACAUUUUCUUGAUCUUGUUCAUGUUAGAGACACUAGUGCUUUGACUCUCAAGAACACACUUAUUGCCGUCCUAGUUGAUAAUGGGUUGAAUGUGCAAGAUAUUAGAGGCCAGGGAUAUGACGGGGCAAGCAACAUGAGGGGGGAGUGGAAUGGGCUGAAAGCUCUAAUUCUCAAUGAGUGCCCUUAUGCAUAUUAUAUUCAUUGUCUUGCACAUCAACUUCAAUUGGCUCUUGUUGCUGCUUCAAGGGAGGUACAUGAGGUCCAUAAUUUUUUUCAGCAUGCAAAUUUCAUUGUAAAUACCGUUAGUGCAUCUCCCAAACGCAACGAUGAGCUAUUAGAAAAUCAGGCUGCUGAAAUUGCUAGAGAGAUUGAAUUGGGAGAGCUUGACACAGGAAGAGGGGCCAAUCAAAUAGGAUCUUUACAAAGGGCCGGAGACACGAGAUGGAGUUCCCACUACAAAUCUAUCAAAAGUUUGUUAAAGAUGUUUGCCGCAAUUGUUACAGUGCUAAGAAGUUUAGCAGAUGAUCGUUCAGCUACAAGGAACUCAAGAGGUGAUGUUGGAGGUUCCCUAAAAAUCCUACUCACAUUUGAUUUUGUGUUCAUUCUACAUUUAAUGGAAAGAAUCAUGAAAAUCACGGAUGUCUUGUGUCUCAAACUUCAACAUAAAUCUUUGGACAUUGCAAAUGCAUUAGAUUGUGUUUCUAACACAAAGGUGUUGCUUGGUGAACUAAGGGAAGAUGGAUGGGACAACCUUUUUGAAGAUGUGAAAUCCUUUUGUGUGAAACAUGAGAUUGACAUCCCGAACAUGGAUCAAAAGUAUGUUGAUGUGACAAAAUCUCGAAAUAAGCAUGACAACACCACAGUUAUCCAUCAUUACAAAGUAGAUGUGUUUAAUGUUGCAAUAGAUCAACAAGUGAUAGAGUUGAAUGAUCGAUUCAGUUCUCAAGUAACUGAGCUACUAGAUCUUUGUUCAUCAUUGGACCCGAGGCAUGAUGCCUUCAGCAAAUCAAAGAUAUGCAGACUAGUGGAGAAAUUCUAUCCUGCAGAUUUUUCUAGUCAAGAAAGAGAUCGGUUGGAGUGCGAGCUACCACAUUUCCAGCUUGAUACAUUCAACCAUCCAGAGAUCAAGAACUGUAAAUCACUUGCUGAUCUAACAAAAGGAAUAGUUAAGACUGGCAAGUCUUCUGACUAUCCAAUGGUUGAGAGGUUGUUACGAUUGGUGAUAACUCUCCCGGUGUCAACCGCAACAGCAGAGUGA